GUCCAGACUCCUACGGGAGGCAGCAGUGGGGAAUAUUGCACAAUGGGGGAAACCCUGAUGCAGCAACGCCGCGUGAGGGAAGACGGUUUUCGGAUUGUAAACCUCUGUCAUCGGUGACGAAAAGGACGGUAGCCGAUGAGGAAGCUCCGGCUAACUACGUGCCAGCAGCCGCGGUAAUACGUAGGGGGCAAGCGUUAUCCGGAUUUACUGGGUGUAAAGGGAGCGUAGACGGCGGGGCAAGUCUGGAGUGAAAGGCCGGGGCCCAACCCCGGGACCGCUCUGGAAACUGCCCGGCUGGAGUGCGGGAGAGGUAAGCGGAAUUCCUAGUGUAGCGGUGAAAUGCGUAGAUAUUAGGAGGAACACCAGCGGCGAAGGCGGCUUACUGGACCGUGACUGACGUUGAGGCUCGAAAGCGUGGGGAGCAAACAGGAUUAGAUACCCUUGUAUCC
rnacentral:rRNA from 1 species